rnacentral:rRNA from 1 species
AAUACGACUCUCGGCAACGGAUAUCUCGGCUCUCGCAUCGAUGAANAACGUAGCGAAAUGCGAUACUUGGUGUGAAUUGCAGAAUCCCGUGAACCAUCGAGUCUUUGAACGCAAGUUGCGCCCCANGCCGUUAGGCCGAGGGCACGUCUGCCUGGGUGUCACGC